CCUACGGGUGGCAGCAGUGAGGAAUAUUGGUCAAUGGACGAGAGUCUGAACCAGCCAAGUAGCGUGAAGGAUGACUGCCCUCUGGGUUGUAAACUUCUUUUAUAAAGGAAUAAAACGAGGCACGUGUGCCUUUUUGCAUGUACUUUAUGAAUAAGGAUCGGCUAACUCCGUGCCAGCAGCCGCGGUAAUACGGCGGAUCCGAGCGUUAUCCGGAUUUAUUGGGUUUAAAGGGAGCGUAGAUGGGUUGUUAAGUCAGUUGUGAAAGUUUGCGGCUCAACCGUAAAAUUGCAAUUGAUACUGGCAGUCGUGAGUACAGUUGAGGUAGGCGGAAUUCGUGGUGUAGCGGUGAAAUGCUUAGAUAUCACGAAGAACCCCGAUUGCGAAGGCAGCUUACUAAACUGUGACUGACAUUGAUGCUCGAAAGUGUGGGUAUCAAACAGGAUUAGAUACCCGAGUAGUC
rnacentral:rRNA from 1 species